UGAUGAUUUACCAUUCAGAGGUUACCUCUUAACCAUUCAGACUUGAGGUUACCUUUUAUUCAUUCAGAGGUUUUAAACCAUUAGGUGGCAUUGGUUUCAUAUUUGGUAGCUAUCUUGGUGCCAUUUUGCUGGUUCUGCACCAGCUUAUUUUUACACCUGUAUUGUAUGAUUUCUACAACUAUGAUGUUGACAAAACAGAAUUCAGUCAACUUUUUUCAAAGUUCACACAGGAUAUGGCUUUGC